CAUGCAAGUCGGACGGGCUCAGUGCUUUCUGGUGCUGGGUGAGUGGCAGACGGGUGCAUAACACGUGUAUGACCUACCCUGGCUUGGGGGAUACCCUUCAAAAAUGGAGGCUAAGACCGCAUGUGGUCCUUGGGGGUGGAGCCCUGGGGAAGAAAGUCGGGCAACCGACGCGCGAGGAGGGGCUCCGCGGCCGAUUAGCUAGUGUGGCGGGGUAAUGGCCCACCAAGGAGACGAUCGGUAGCUGGUCUGAGAGGAUGAUCAGCCACACUGGGAUUGAGAACGGCCCAGACUCCUACGGGGGGCAGCAGUGAGGAAUCUUCCACAAUGGGCGCAAGCCUGAUGGAGCAACGCCGCGUGCGGGACGACGCGUUUCGGCGUGUAAACCGCUUUUCUUCAGGACGAGAACGGACGGUACCGGAGGAAGAAGCCUCGGCUAACUACGUGCCAGCAGCCGCGGUAAUACUGUAGGAGGCGAGCGUUGUCCGGAGUUACUGGGCGUAAAGGGUGCGCAGGCGGUGGCCUAAGUUUGCGGUGAAAGCUCCUGGCUUACCUGGGAGAGGGCCGUGAAGACUGGGGCACUUGAGGCUCGGAGAGGGACGUGGAAUUCCGGGUGGAGCGGUGAAAUGCAUAGAGAUCCGGAAGAACACCAACGGCUAAGGCAGCGUCCUGGCCGAGACAUGACGCUCAGGCACGAAAGCGCGGGGAGCAAACAGGAUUAGAUACCCUGGUAGUCCGCGCCGUAAACGAUGUCCACCAGGUGCCGGGGGUAUCGACCCCCUCGGUGCCGCAGCUAACGUGAUGAGUGGACCGCCUGGGGAG
rnacentral:rRNA from 1 species